GGAGAAAGCUGCUGGCAGCCAGCCCGUGUGCAAGGGGAGCAGAGAGAAGGCUCAUUCCAGGAUAAACUAAACAGGCCUCAAGAAUGUGACCUCCCACGCUCCUCCAUGAACAGCUCUCUCCCUGCGUCCCAGCAACCAAAGACACUUGUUGAUUUGGGAAAAACCCAGAGGAAGGAUUCUGUCUGGAUUUUCUGGUACCACUGACGCAUUUUCACCCAGGCACAUUCAUCUGGUUCAAGACUGAAUCUUUCCCUUUUUCAUGAAACAGAUUCUCCCCCUCUUUUAAGCCUCUGUGGGCUCCAGAAUGAGUUGAACCGCUGUAUCUUCUCAUCACAGCGUUUCCCUCUUUGGACAUGGGCUGAGACACACAGAUUUCACGACUUCCUCUUUGGAGAAGGCAUGAAAGGACCUGCAGCCACGGCCCCAUACGUUUCAAGAGAGGCAAGGCUUUCACCCUCCGUGUCUUUCACAGCCAUCCGCCCACAGCCUCUUAACUUCCUGACAUUAAACAAAAACGAAACCGAGGUUUCCCUAAUUGGGGAUCAUCAUCAAGAAUCUGUCAUGGGGUCUCUUAGAAAUUAAUUCAACUCGAUUGUUCUUCAGACCUCCGCUAAGGAGCCGGCGUGUUACUCUCGACACCAACUUGUCCCAUCUUCAUCCUAUAUUAGCUCCCUAACAGGGUUGCACGAUCAGCUCCUAGGCUGCAAAUUAGAAAAAUGGGCGAUGAUUCCAGCAGCUACGCCUCGGCACUCUCACGCCGGAUUACUGUGAUGGUCUCCUUGCAAGGCUUCCGGAUCUUUCUAUGUGGGUUGAAAUUGGUUCCAACUGUAACUUCCUGUUGAUCUCCCACCCUGAAUUCCCUCAUUGAUGCAACAUUUUGUUAAAAAAGAACUUCACCGAAUUACCCAUUUCAUGGAAAUUGCAAUAGGGUAUUGACUUGUAUAGUUAAUGAAGCUUUCAAAAAAGCACUCCUGUAGCCAUCAUCUAAAUGCCCCUCUGGCCACCAAAACUGUGCAUGUAAUUCACUGUAGUGAGGAUUCCUGAGUCUCCCUAAGGGAGAUCCAGUAGGAUCAGUUCUGGGUGGGAUCCGUCAGCAAACACAACCUAUUGCCCGCCUCCUUCUGGUUUCCAGUCCCGGGGGGUAAUUGAUGUCUUAGUGCACACAGAGCCGGACCAUGGAGCUAAGUAGAUAUGGGUUUCCAACUCAUCCCGGCCACUUCCCAGGGGCAUGUCCAGGGGCAAGUUAGUAACUCUCUUGAACCUCAGUUUCCUCAUCUGCAGAGUGUGGAUCAUCACAAACCUACCUUCUGGGGUUGCUAGGGGAUUAAAGGAGAUAAGGAGCAUAGCAGGGCUGGCCCUGUGCCUGCCUGGAGUGGGCACCAAGCUGACUUCGCUGGGGCUCUCCCGGCCCCACAUACCUGCAAUGGUUUUGCCUUUGGCUCGAUGUCUGAAGCCUUUGCAUUUCUGAAGGGAGUGAUGUAAAUCAAGCCAUGCUUAUGAUUAAAAACAUCCAACGUUCAGCUCA
ensembl:lncRNA novel transcript